rnacentral:lncRNA from 1 species
AGGAUGCGGAGAAAAAGACCCCAGGAACUAAGAAGGUGGUGAAAAAGAUUGUUAAAAGAGUUGUUAAAAGGCCUGUCAACGAUGGAAAGGCAACUGAUAAGAAAGAUGAGAAGCCGGAUGAAAAGGAUGUUCCUGGAAAGGUUGCCAUUUCAGGUGAUAACCAAGGGGAGAGCUCAGAUCCUAGUGCUAAGGGUAAUGAACAGACUCCUUCAAAGACAAUCGUAAAGAAAAAAAUCAUCAAAAAAGUGGCUAAAAAGAAGAUUGCUGAAGUAGACAAUAACAUGGACGGUGACUUGAAGAAUAAUGGAGACAAUGAUGAGGAAAAGGUGGUGGACGCAGAGAAGAAAACUCCUGAUUCAGGUAGUAUGGAGAUGAAAUCUCCUGCAGGAAAGAAGGAAGAGAGUGCCUCCAAAAUUGUGGAAACAAAACAGAAGGCGGGAUCUCCGAGUACUGAGAAAAAGGAGGGUGCUUCUAGUUCAACAAAGAAGGACAUUAAGGCAGGUGAAGACAAGAAGGCUGAAAAGAAAGACAAGUCAGAGAACCAAUCCGAGGGCAAAAAGGUUGACGAGAAAAAGGCAAAAGAAAAAAUUAACGAGAAAGAAAUUAAAGAGAGAAGUGGAAAAGAUGAGUCCAUAAUACAAGUGAAGGACAAGAAAAAGUCUGACGAACCUCCUCGGCCAGGAUUUGUUCUACAAGUGAAACGGAACAAAGAUUCUAAAGUAGGUGGACAAUAAGUCAAGGUUUCAGGUUUAGUAAUAGCAGCUUUCACUUAUUUGGAGUUUUUUUCUUUUUAGCAGUUGCGUUCACUUUCGGUCUCCCUGGACUCGCUUUUGGAUUACACUGACAAGGACAUUGAUGAGUCAUCAUUUGAGGUUAGUCUUUUUCCUGUGUGGUUACUGCUUUGCUUAGCAUGUUUCCAUUGUCUCUCUUAGCUAACCAAUGUACGUGUUUUGUUAUAGCAACUGAACUACUAAGUUUUCAUCAAUAUUAUGUAUGUGCUUGCAGCUUUCAUUGUUUGCUGAAUCGAUGUUCGAGAUGCUACAGUAUCAAAUGGGUACUCGUAUCUUAGAAUUUCUCAAGGUUGGUUUGUAACUGAUUUAUGAUGUUUUGUUUUUUGAGCUUACAUAACUGUUUUCUUACACUUCUUUUUUUUGUCCUUGGUAGAAAUUACGUGUAAAAUUUGUGAGAGAGAGAAACCAACGAAAGAGGCGUCAAGAAGAGUUAUCUGCCAAGGAAAAGGAAGCAAAAGCACAAAAUAAGCGUCAAAAGACUGACAAGGAAGCCACUGUUACAACUGAAUCUGUUCCUGAGAAGGAUGACAAGAAAAAUUCAGCAAAGGAAACGGUAGCUAACACUGAAGACACUAAAAAAGCCACCGGUGAUGAAGCUGCUACGAUGGAAGCGGAUAACCAGGAUGAGGAGGAUGAAGAGAUUGAUGAAGACCCAGAGGAAGACCCUGAAGAGGAUCCUGAAGAAGACCCUGAGGAAUGCGAGGAAAUGGACGAUGAAAAUCCUGAGCAAGAAGAAACUGCUGAAGAGGUAUGAUUUAUACAUUAUUUGCCAUGCAGUUUCCAACUUACAUUAUCGUAAGUUUUAUUUUAGCCAACAAGAUGUUAUGUUCAUCAAUCUUGUCCAUUUGUUCUGUGUCUCUUCUUCAGCCGCAGAAGAAUGAAGAAAACAGUGAGAAGACUAGCAGCGCUGUUGCUCGUCCUAUAACUGAAGUCGCAACUGAUAGAAAAGAAGAGAUCGUGGAGAAGACUGAUUCCAAAUCUGCUGAGAUCAAACCCAAGUCGGAGUCAGGCAAGCACGGGAAGCAAGAGGAAGGAACAUCUGAUGCACCAAAAAAAGAAGAAACGGUUGGAGCGUCGCCGUGAGAACCUGCGUGCCAGAGAUAAGGAGCGAGAACGAGAGAGGGAUCGCGAACGUGAUAGAGAGCGAGAACGAGAGCGGGAGAAGGAACGAGAAAAGCAAAGAGCUAGGGACAGAGAAAGGGAUCGCAUACGGGAGAAGGAAAGAGAAGAUGAAAGAGAACGUGAUCGAAAACGCGCUCUCGAAAGAAAACGUGAUCGGACUCCAACAGCGAGAGCUACGUCCAGGGACCCAAAGGAGCGGACUCCAGUGCCGAAAGCUGUUUCUAGGGAUGCACGUAGUUCCUCUUUGCGGCGGGAUGCACAACAUCGUGAAGCAUCAAUUAGGUUUUCUUUUUUAUCCAUGUCACGCUCUUCAUCUGGAAUGCAGGGGAUUUUAUGUUGCUUCUUCGCAAGACACUAACCUUAUUUCUGUUAUACCUGAAGGCGUCCUUCACCAGUUAGGCCAAUACGGAGAGAUUAUGUCUGCAAGGUAACAAGUGUUCAGAGAAAUUCCUCAUUCCGUGAUGUUUUUGCAUACUCCUCUGGGUUACCUCAUCUUCCUUUCCAAUCCUGCAUUCUCCUUGCUUUCUUAUUGAUUGACUUCCAAUUUCAGCUUUCUCAUUCUUUUCCUCCUUUACCUUUGGUUACUAUACUUCCUCUUUCCUUCUGACAUCUUGUCACCUUGGGGUAUUAUUAUCCUGCCUUUUGAACUCAGUGUGACAAAUAUUCCUGGUAGAAAGUGCUAUGUUUUCCUGAGUUUUGUAUUAUUUGGGAGGGAAAUUUUGCAACCUUAUAUAUUGUUCGUCUCUAGUUAAUUUUCCUGAUUGCGAUUUUUUUUCUUUGGGACUUUGCAUUGAAGGAAACUUGUAAAAGUUCACAAGGAUGAAACAAUGGAUGUUAUUUUUCGUUGAUAAGACGCUUUAUUGAGAGUUACCCGCCCUUUGUAUCCUGAGUAAUGCAAUGAUUAAGACCAAUGUACAUAAUUUGAUGACUUGUUUGUAGGUUUUAUCCUCGCGCUUGGUUGACAUGGAGAGGGAUUACGUGACACUGGAUAAAAGAUAUCCAAGGCUUUUUUUACCUUCUGAGUUUUCCAAGGUAUCUGUUUGUCUAUCUGCCAAUAAUUUUCUAAUCCUUAGGAGAGUACCAAGUGAUCGUAAACCUCAAUAUAUAUGUUUCAGGUUGUGGUGAACUGGCCGAAACAAAAGCUUACACUUUCGAUGCAUACUGCUGUGAGGUGAAUUAAUCCUACUUUCUUGUUUGCAAAUUGUCAGUCUGAAGAUUUUAAUCGUGUUCAAGGAGUUCAAAUAGAUCAUAUUUUAUUUCUCUUGCUGAGUCAGUAUAUUAGAGCUAGAUUUUGGAUUCACUUUUGCUUUAUUAUAUAUAUAGUCUAAGAUUUGUAAACAUCUUUGUUUGUAACUGAAACAAAUCUAAUAUAUAUUGAAAUUCAUUUUUAACAUGUAUUUUAUUGCUCUUUAUGGUAUAGUUUGUGUUUGCAUGUUCUUUACGUUAUUGAAUGCUUUAUUUGCAUGUUCAUCAUCAUAGUAAUUUAGUUUUUUUUUUUUUUUAAUCACAGUUUCAAGUGGUCUUCAAGGCGAGAGCCUCGAUGCGCCAUGGCGCAAGGCGCAAGGCACAUACUUCAUCGCCAUGGAGCGCCAUGAGCCUUUUUAAACACAGGCCUGAGCAGGACUGCUCUGGAAGAUCUUUCUUCAGAUAAAUUAUUUGAAGAGCGUAUACCUCAUAUUUGCAACAUAUUAAAGUUUGCUGUUCUUAAAAAAGAUCAUUCGUUGAUGGCCACCGGUGGUCCUUGGGAUCCCACAGAUGGCAUGGACCCAUCAGUUGAUCAGUCUUCCUUAAUCACGACAAUGCUGAGGUGUGUUUCUUCUCUUGUUCGUUUUUGUCAUUCUUUUCUACCUUGUAUUCAUUGUCUUGAGGCAUGAAAGGUCUUUUGCGUUGCAGACACACAAAGGAUAAGCUUCAUCUUGAUCUGAGCAACUGCCGUCACUGGAAUCCCUUUCUUGAGGUAGGUUUGACAUCUCUUAGUUUAAGACUGCAUUGAGAUGUUGAACAAGUGGGGACGUCAUAGUAGAGUAUCCGAGCUUAUUAGUGGUUGCUUUAUUUAUUAAUGUUUUCGUUAGUGUAUUAAAUAUUUUUUCUAACUGUCUUAAAUUGUUGGACCCUCAACCACUGCUAUUAGCCUAUCCAAAGAUUUGCUAUGAAUAGCUUUGCCAACUUUGUUAACUUGGUUCCUCGAUUGCAUUUUGCUGUAGAUAUGGUAGCUUCAGCAUAGAUACAUACAAAGCUAACCAAGCAAUAUUAUUUACUUGUUAUCUGGAGAUCUAAAUAGUUUUGUUUGACCUCUUUUUUUUUGGCGUUUACAGAUACAUUACGACAGAGUUGGUACGGAUGGAGUUUCUAUCUUCAAAGAGAUCACUGUACUAUUUGUCCCUGAUUUAUCAGAAUGUCUUCCUUCAGUUGACGCUUGGAGAACCCAAUGGUUGGCACACAGGAAAGUUCUUGCUGAGAGAGAUAGACUACUUUCUCAGGAGGCUAAGAAAGAUGUCAUUGUAGGAAAGGGAAGUGAUAAUGCCGGUGAAGUAGCCAAGGAUGCGGAGAAAAAGACCCCAGGAACUAAGAAGGUGGUGAAAAAGAUUGUUAAAAGAGUUGUUAAA